rnacentral:rRNA from 1 species
UUGACCUCGGAUCAGGUAGGAAUACCCGCUGAACUUAAGCAUAUCAAUAAGCGGAGGAAAAGAAACCAACAGGGA